rnacentral:rRNA from 1 species
UACGGGGGGGGCAAGCGUUGUUCGGAAUUACUGGGCGUAAAGGGCUCGUAGGCGGCUAAUUAAGUCAGAUGUGAAAUCCCUCGGCUUAACCGGGGAACUGCGUCUGAUACUGGAUGGCUUGAAUCCGGGAGAGGGAUGCGGAAUUCCAGGUGUAGCGGUGAAAUGCGUAGAUAUCUGGAGGAACACCGGUGGCGAAGGCGGCGUCCUGGGCAGGCAUUGACGCUGAGGAGCGAAAGCCAGGGGAGCAAACGGG